UGCUCAGUGAUUAGAGCCAAUUACAUUGGCAAUAUACGCUAUACAGACCUUCUUUUGAUGAAAAAUUGAAUAUGAGAGCU